AUUGAACGCUGGCGGCAGGCCUAACACAUGCAAGUCGAACGGUAACAGGAAGAAGCUUGCUUCUUUGCUGACGAGUGGCGGACGGGUGAGUAAUGUCUGGGAAACUGCCUGAUGGAGGGGGAUAACUACUGGAAACGGUAGCUAAUACCGCAUAACGUCGCAAGACCAAGGAGGGGGACCUUCGGGCCUCUUGCCAUCGGAUGUGCCCAGAUGGGAUUAGCUAGUAGGUGGGGUAACGGCUCACCUAGGCGACGAUCCCUAGCUGGUCUGAGAGGAUGACCAGCCACACUGGAACUGAGACACGGUCCAGACUCCUACGGGAGGCAGCAGUGGGGAAUAUUGGACAAUGGGCGCAAGCCUGAUGCAGCCAUGCCGCGUGUAUGAAGAAGGCCUUCGGGUUGUAAAGUACUUUUGGCGGGGAGGAAGAGAGGAAAGUUAAUACCUUGGCGCAUUGACGGUACCCGAAGAAUAAGCACCGGCUAACUUCGUG
rnacentral:rRNA from 1 species